rnacentral:tRNA from 1 species
CCCCUUGUGGCGAAACAGGCAGACGCGCUCGACUCAAAAUCGAGUUCCGAAAGGAGUGUGAGUUCGACUCUCACCGAGGGGACCA